AUUACCUCACUGAAAUGAUCCAGCCAGACAUUCCUACACGCAACCUAAGAUCGCAAGAUGCAGGCCUAAUUGUACUGAGGAUUUCUGAACAAACAGCUGGAGGCAGGACUUUCUCUCAUAGAGCUCCACUACUGUGGAAUCUGCCAAUUAAGGAAGCACAGUACUCCAAGGCACCAGAGAGGUACUCCACGCCACCAUGUAGAGGACUGCUACUUAGAACAUUUGGAGAAGAUCAAGAAGCUGACUGAAGAGAAGGUCGAGUUGAGGGCACAGCUGGCUCUACAAUCAGCUUCUGAUUAAUGUCUGACUGAAGAGAAUGUCAAGCCCGAGGGCACAACUGGCUCUACAAAUCAGGAUCCAUAAGGAAGAACCCUUCCAACUUGGAUGCCACUGAAGAGAUAAUGUAAUGACUAUUUGGAAAAAAAUGAAUCUAAGUUUGUGAAUUCCCAAAAAUGUAGGAGGUUAAUCAAGAUGCUGUUGGUGUGCCAUGAGGUAGUUUGGCCAUUGUCCUGUCAAAAAUGCAAAAUGUGUAUGCUGUAGCUAUGCUAAUACAAUUGCCCUGGUGGUUGCAACAGGUACAACACUGCACAUGGGCUGGAGUUUUUCACUCCUACAAUUUAGUUGCGC
ensembl:lncRNA